GUUCUCAGUUCGGACUGCAGUCUGCAACUCGACUGCACGAAGCUGGAAUCGCUAGUAAUCGCGGAUCAGCACGCCGCGGUGAAUACGUUCCCGGGCCUUGUACACACCGCCCGUCACACCAUGGAAGUCUGCAAUGCCCGAAGCCGGUGGCCUAACCACUUAUGUGGAAGGAGCCGUCUAAGGCAGGGCAGAUGACUGGGGUGAAGUCGUAACAAGGUACC
rnacentral:rRNA from 1 species